AUGAAAGGGAGUCUCUGUUUUGAAUAUUUGUCUGUGUCUAUAUAUUACUACCAUUUUUAAAGCCAAAUCAUUACUUCGGCAACUGAGAUUUCAUCCCAGCCUCCAAGGUGCAGUCACUUCUAAACAUCAAGGUGUGUCCAAGGUACCACCAGUUACCAAUGCAAGAAACCAUGGACAGAUUUUCUUGGUGUGGGCACACACAUUUAAGCCACACUCCUUUGCAGCACUUCAGGCCAUGCAUAACUUUAAGUAGGCGGGAAUUUAAAACUGAAGACCACUUAGGACUACUGCUUUGAUCACUGUGAGCAUGAAAUCUGGUUAAAUGGGCUAUGUGGAAAACCUGUUGGCUGGAGCCAUCAAACCAUGUAACGUGAACCCUGCCCUCUGAGAAAUUUGGUCUUGGAAAAGGUGCCUGCGUAGCUAACCUGCUAUUGUGAUGGCACCACUUUUCACGCCACAAUCUGUUUGCAGGGUGACUACAGAGCUCAUAUUUGAAAUCACACUCCUUUCUUUUGCAAUGCUUAGAGUUAUUUUUUUCCUUUCCAAAACCCAGUUCUCAGAAUAGAAACAUAAAUAAGUAUGACUGAAGCUGACAAGCACCAGCACUUUGGAUUUUUGUUUGCUUUCUCAUACACAAAGACACCACUUUGCAAAUUCCAAAGAUUUGCAAACGUUUCCUGAUGAAUCAUCCCUACCCAGAAGAAUACAAUUUUUCAAAGUGUUUUCUAUAGCAGCAUAGUUGCCAGUUCACUUGUUAGAUAUUUUCCUACAUACACAAGCUUUUUCAAAAGAUAUAUUCUAGCACAUCAUAUUUAAAAUGAAAUAAAAAAAUAGUUUAUUAAAUUUGUAGGCUUUCAGGUCAGAAAGGGCUACUAUAAUAAUGAAGAUUAACCUGUGACAUGAACUUAUCUACCCAUAUAACAUGCAGAGAUUGCUGAGUUAGAUGAGAAAAACUCUUCCCACCUGCGAAAAGAAAAAAAAAAAAUGAAAUUUAGUAACUUGUCAGUAUGGUAUAACUCAUAAGAAAGAAGCAAUCUUGAAUUUAGAGAAUAAAAUUAUAGGACAUACAUUAACUAUUUGCAAAUAACUUUAUUUCAAUAAUUCAAACUAAAAUAAAUUCCCAACAAAAUGACAAAUUUCAGGCCAAAUUCCAUUUUAUAUUCCCAUUUUACUUCCAAUUUGAUAACAUCAUAAUUUCAGUAUCCAGUUUACUGUGCCCUUUUUUUUGUCUGCUGAACUACCAUAAUAUUUAUGGACUAACAAAAAACAAAACAAAACAAAACCACAAACAAACAAACAAACAAACAAAAAAAAAAGUCUUUUCAAAUUAUUUCAAAGAACACAGUCCCUCACAGUACACAUCCCAGUUCUGUAAAACAAUUAAUAUAAACCAAAGACACAAACAGGUGUGCCUGAUUACUAAAUUCUAUUUUGAAAAAGACACUGGAAAUCUGAGUUUAUUUUAGAACUGAUUUUGCUAACAAAUGAUUUUAUAAGUGUAUUCAUUUCUAGGGAGCAUUCCCUGUGCUUUGCUUCUAAACAGAACUAAAGCCAUGCAACAAAGAGCAAAAGAUCAUCGACCUCCUGACAUAAAUUACUUUGCUGACAAUUCUCUUAGUGUAUGUUUUCACAUUUGUCUGGCUGCUCUGACAAGACGAAUUGUCUUGUAGAACCAAAUUAAUACACAGGGAGGCUUUGCCACUAAAGAAAUACAAGCUGGUUUCUUUUAUUACGACUGGCAAGAGAUCUGCAUUUGCAGUACAAACAACUACAGUGUCCUCUGAGCUAAUAUUCUUGUGGCACAUGGCUAACUCUUAGUAACCUGGAUCCUGAAACUGGGGCAAGGCAUUUAUUUAAAUCCUCAGGGAAGAAACUACUUUAAAUCCAGGUGCUUAAUGGUAGAACCAUGUGUAAACAGGAAUGCACCACAUACAUUCAUCCUGCUAUUAAAGCAACACAUUAAAAGGAAAGGAAUGAGGAAAGAAAGUCAUAAGAAACCUCAAGAAUUUUCAUCUUACUAAAAAUUCAAAUGUUGUGGAUGAUGUUACAUACAACGAGAAUUUUACCCUUGAAUCCAAGUAGACGCUAAAACACUUCUCAGGGGAGAAGCUGAACUCAGAUCCUGAUGUUAAGAAGCCAGAAUAAAACAAACAAUCUACCUCCACUCUGACCCUGGCUCAGAAGGGAUGUAAACACAUGCUACACUCUCCCUGGGUGCACUCAGUGCCUUUGCUGCAUGCUUUCCUGCCAGCUCCUGCAGAGAAACACACAGGCAGAAAGUCAGAAACCACAGAAUAACACGCCUGGAGCAGAGCUGGCUUCCCUGCAAUCAGAUGGGAAGAAGGGUGUUCCUACUGGCCCUCUUCCUCAGACAAACACAUUUUGGUCACUUCUGCCUCUGUAUUACACUCCUUCCUUUGCAACCAUCUGACAGGUUGGAGGGGUGCAUCUGGCAGUCAGACCCUAAGAAUAUAAUAUGAAAGUUCCAGACAAAUGCAGAUUUCCCAGCUGGAGAAGACCUGAACCAUUUGGCACCUGGUCUCUUGGCAAUGACAGGACCAAGAAAGCUCUCAGACUCACUACCUUUGUUUCACAGGCUCAUGCUUUUUAGCAUCUGAAGAGGACUGGAACUAAUUCUUAAGGACAGCAAGCAAAAGUUUAAUCAGAUAAUUGUGAUAAUGUUAUCAGCCUCUAAUUGGUUCCAUAGAAGAAAAUGUAAUUAACCCACUUAGCCCCAAGAACCCACUAGCUGUUGAUAGGCUGACAUUUCCAAGAAGCCCAAAUGUUUGAGACAACCUUGUCACAGGACUGUUUGUGAUUUACACCCAGUGAUAUCAGGUGGUGAAUGGUAAUGAAAGGGAGAAUGGGGAAAAAUGUCUGAAUGAAGCACACUAGCAGGACCCACAGUCCACAGAAUGAUUCUGGCUCUGCGGGAGAGCUGGUCUCACUUUAAGCCUCAGCAAAUGAGUUUUGUUUCAGAGAAAAAGAGAUGCAAGAUUGGUGUCAGUUCUAGAAAUUUGAGUAAAAUUGCACCAAUUUACAGUUGUGCUAAACUGGUCUACAUUAAACACUUGCACUUAGAGACUAGGGAUACAAAGAAAAAAAAAAUCUUGAGUGUGGGAGAUGGAAGCCCAGCCAUCUAAGUGCACGUGUAUCAGGAGAUGAGUAGAGAAAUGUCACCAUGAAAAGAACCAAUUAUGUUUCAAUGUCUGUUUCUACCAGAAAAGCUCCUGUUUGACUGCCAGUGGCAUUUUAUGUCUUUCCAAGGCACAUUUAGGAUGGAAGUGACAUCAACUUGCCUGAGAGAGCUUUCUAAGUCCUCCUCCAUUUAGUGGCACUCAGCAGUACAUAUUAGGAAAACUGAAUCAGAGGAAAACUUACUCAUCAUCAACAAAACAUCAGGUUUCCAGAUGCACCAGGAGGUGUGACCUGCACUGUUUUCCACAGCCUUUUGCCCAACCUGCUUCCACAUCAGAGGCCCGCAGAAACUACAAAAAGAUAAGACAUCAUUGAGACAAGGAAUGCUGUCUUAUGCAGUGCCCCCGUCCAUCACAUGCCAGAGACUGAACUCUCCUCUCCCAGGGCGGUACAUCUCCUGAUAUAGGGUGCUAUGGGUGAUACAGAUCUCCUUUUCCCAUGAGUUUUGGGUUAGGCAGACCUCCAACUGGUACGUUUUUCCCGCAGCUGUAGCGAUGCUUUGCAACACAGCAGCUCUGACUCCAAGUGAUCACAGCUGGCACAUCUCUUUGAGCUGAAUUGGUGAAAUACAGAGUAAAUGACAGGUUUCUUCAAUGCAGCUCUUAGAAAGAACUUAUGGAGAUUAUUAUGAAGGAGCUGUGAAGACAUCACUGGAAUCUGCUUGUGGAGCUGACAACCGAGAGAUAGCUUUCUUUGAUAACUUUUAAUCACUGUGUUUUCUACUUAUGCAAAUUGUAAUAAUACCCUUGAUGCUCUGUAUUUCUAUAGCAUUCAGGCUUAUGGCAGUGACAUGAAGAUUCAGAGCUGGUUGCUCGUCUGUCACUAGCUUGUUUCUGCAUCGAAGAUGUAUUACAUUUGGCAGUGACAUACAUCAUUGAUUCAUGUAAUACCUGUGACAUUAGAACACACAUUCAGAAAGAAACAUCUCACAAAAUGCCACUUCGGCAGACUUCAUCCAAGUUUCGUCAUGGUUUAGGGUUUGCUUGCACUGCAAACUGCAGGUAAGCCCCUGCCAUGAGGGAAAAUUAAAAUAAAUAAAUAAAUAAAUAAAAAGGCCUAAUUUAUCCUGCACCAAGCUUCAUGAACCUCAUUCUCACUAGAUGAUACAAUAGGUUUUAGAUGCCUAAAUUACCAUACUGGUUUUCAAAAGAGGAUUAUGACUCCUAAGUCACUUAGGCGGCUUUGAAAAUGCCAUCAAGGAUCUUUGCACAAACACAUAGCUUGGUGGGUAUCAUUACCUGCUACAAUAUAUUAUCAUGAGUGACAUGGAAAUUACCUAUCUAUUCCACUCUGAUUCUAACAUAGGAUUAGUCCUUAUGUUACAGCUACCAGUGGUUUGUCCAGUUCAGCUUUCCAUCGUUUCCUUUUAAAGAUGAUUUAAUAGGCCAAGGGACCAUAAUGCUGUCAGUAGCUGUGGUCCUAUUAGAUCAUGCUGCCAUUAAUUGAGACUUAAUACAUCCCCUUGCCUAGAAGAAUCUAUUGUGGGUAAUUUUGUCUUGUUAUUCAAUCUAAACUUUCCAUCUCAUUACUCGCAGCCUCACCUACUUCAGCCACCCUACAUGAUUACUUUGCCUGUUUUCAGCUAUGAUAAAGAUGUGGACUGUUAUCAUAUUACACCCUCUGCUCCUCUGGCUGUAAUUAAGUCAAGGUGCAAAUUGAAUUUGAUUACCCAAGGUCACAGGCUUUGCCUAAAAGAGAUGGUCAAAAGAGGGGAGGGAGCACUAUCAAGGCCAUGUUGUUAAUGAUGACCUGGACUCUGAAUAAAGUGAGUCCAGAAUCUGUAACAGAGUUUAAUUUAAUCUGCUGUGCUCUUUUUAUUUACACACCUAUUUUUUUUCCUAGUUAUUUGAACAGACACUAGAGCGUGUAUAUUCAGCGCUGAAGUUGCCUAUCCCACACAGACUUUACAAGGCUUUGGGAAACAUGAUAUAAAUUGUUUUGUUUUGUUCUGUUUUAUUUUUUUUUUUUCUGUUAUGACACAAGAGCUGUUAGUGUUAGCAGUGUGACAAGGAUAAAUAGGUCAAAUUUAAAUCAAGGUCCACACUCAAAGUGCGCUAAGCACUCAGGCAAGCUUCACAGUUCUACAUCCUGGUUUGGAGAAGUUUUAGUGGACCAGAGAGGGGCACACAUGCUGAAAUACUUGAAUGAGAUGUAUGAGAUCAAACGUCAGCAAAGAGGCAGAGCUAGGACUGAGCUCCUAGACUGAGUCCCUCAAAAUGGGAUGCACACAAUUUCAGAGCUCAGUUUCAUUACCCAUACAGAGAUGUUUGUUGCCAUCUGAGAGGUUGUUGAGCACCUCACCAGGUUUAUAUGUGUUUUUCCAGAAGGGCAAAAAUCCUGCAUAGCAUCCUUCAGGCCCCUGGAGAUAUCCCAGACACUCUAAACAGCAUUAGAAAUCCAUAUGUGGGUAACUGAAUUGCAAUCACUGUCAUGCUACUUUUACAAUAAUAAAUGCGCAGUCUGAAAUCUGUCUAUGCAAAUCCUUUUGUUGUUUGGGUCUUUCUAAAUUGUGGCAGGUAGGGGUUUUUAGCCAGAAUUUUCAUUCAGUGGAAAAUUCUGAAAUUUCUAGAAUUUCAAUUUUAAAUCAGAACAAAUUAAAAAACCACAACAUUUCUUCCAGAACAGGAAAUGUGUUCUCUUACCAGCUUUAUUGAGUGUAAAGGUACUGAUGGGUAGAGGAAACAUUAUACUUGACUCAAGAAAAAAUAACAAAAGUUCCAGAAUUAAAAUGUGAAAUUAAAGUAAGUGCUUUUGUUGUGUUCUUAUACACCACAGGUGCUCCUGUGAGAAUAAGAGUAAGUUUAGAACAAGAGGGAGAGCAGAUAAAGAAAUAAUAGAUAUUA